UCUGCCUCAGGCUCCCAAAGUGCUGGGAUUACAGGCGUUUCUUUGGAUUCCCAUGUCCUUCAAGUGCUUUGCAACUUUGAGAAGAAGAAAUUGACCACCUGGACUAUGGAACUGUGCAUAACAGCUUUGAAAGUGUAUUUAAAAAUUAAAUCCAUACGCCUUUAAAUCAGUAAAUUGGAAAUAUAUUACAUGUAUUGUAAUGACUUUCCUCAGAUAUAAUAAAUUGUUUUCUUUCCAAUGGAA